GACGAACGCUGGCGGCGUGCUUAACACAUGCAAGUCGAACGGAAAGGCCCUGCUUGCAGGGUACUCGAGUGGCGAACGGGUGAGUAACACGUGGGUGAUCUGCCCUGCACUUCGGGAUAAGCCUGGGAAACUGGGUCUAAUACCGGAUAGGAGCCAUUUUUAGUGUGAUGGUUGGAAAGUUUUUUCGGUGUAGGAUGAGCUCGCGACCUAUCAGCUUGUUGGUGGGGUAAUGGCCUACCAAGGCGGCGACGGGUAGCCGGCCUGAGAGGGUGGACGGCCACAUUGGGACUGAGAUACGGCCCAGACUCCUACGGGAGGCAGCAGUGGGGAAGAUUGCACAAGGGGCGCAAGCCUGAUGCAGCGACGCCGCGGGGGGGAGGACGGCCUUCGGGUUGUAAACUCCUUUCGCUAGGGACGAAGCUUUUUGUGACGGUACCUAGAGAAGAAGCACCGGCUAACUACGUG
rnacentral:rRNA from 1 species